rnacentral:lncRNA from 1 species
ACUAUUCAGCCAUAAAAAAGAAUGAGAUCCUGUCAUUUGCAACAUUGUAGAUGGAACUAGAGAUCAUUAAGUGAAAUAAGCCAGGCACAGCAAGACAGACAUCAUGUUCUGACGUAUUUGUUGGAGCUAAAGAUGAAAACAACUGAACUUAUAGAGGGUAGAAGGAUGUUUACCAGAGGCGGGAAAGGCAGUGAGGGCAUGGUGAGGGGGAAGUGGGGAAUGUUAACGGGCACAAAAUGUAGAAUGACUAAGACCUAGUAUUUGAUAGCACAAGGUUACUACAGUCAAUAAUAAUUGUGCAUUUUAAAGGUAUAAUUGAAUUGUAACACAAAGGAUAAAUGCUUGAGGUUAUGGAUACCCCAUUUACCCUGAUGUGAUUAUUAGACAUUGCAUGCCUAUAUCAAAAUAUAUCAUGUACCCCAUAGAUAUAUACACCUAGUAUGUACCCACAAAAAUUAAAAAUAAAGUAAAAUUUCAAUGAUUAGGAAGA